AGUGAACGCUGGCGGCAGGCCUAACACAUGCAAGUCGAACGGCAGCACAGGAGAGCUUGCUCUCUGGGUGGCGAGUGGCGGACGGGUGAGGAAUAUAUCGGAAUCUACCCUUUCGUGGGGGAUAACGUAGGGAAACUUACGCUAAUACCGCAUACGAACUGAGGUUGAAAGCGGCGGACCGCAAGGCGUCGCGCGGAUGGAUGAGCCGAUAUCCGAUUAGCUAGUUGGCGGGGUAAAAGCCCACCAAGGCGACGAUCGGUAGCUGGUCUGAGAGGAUGAUCAGCCACACUGGAACUGAGACACGGUCCAGACUCCUACGGGAGGCGGCAGUGGGGAAUUUUGGACAAUGGGGGCAACCCUGAUCCAGCAAUGCCGCGUGAGUGAAGAAGGCCUUCGGGUUGUAAAGCUCUUUUGUCAGGGAAGAAACACCGGCUCUAACACAGUCCGGGAAUGACGGUACCUGAAGAAUAAGCACCGGCUAACUUCGUGCCAGCCGCCGUGUAA
rnacentral:rRNA from 1 species